GGCGAUCUCNUCCACGGCGCUCGAAGCGCGUCGUGGUAUUUCGCGUAUUGUAAUUUCAACACGAGCGGGGUCAAAUCCUUUGCAGACGACUUAGCUGUGCGAAACGGUCCUGUAAGCAGUAGAGUAGCCUUGUUGUUACGAUCUGCUGAGGGUAAGCCGUCCUUCGCCUCGAUUUCCCCAAUGGGUUCUCCGGAUUUCUGGAGACUUGUAGGGGUUGUGGGAUUUUUGAUGUGUCGUCUCCGGACGGGCGGUGCAGGGUAGUCGAGUUAGACUUGGUGGAGUUCCGUCGAGUCUGGUCGGCUGUGUGUUGGACGGUGCAGGGUAGGCUGCUUGGAGAUGGUCGGUUCGAGGAUCGAUUCGAGGGCCGGCCUGUCGAUGGUGUGUGAUGUAUGCGGUCUAGGGUAGGCUGGUUUGUCUUGGUUCAAUUUGAUGUCGCCUCCCGUGCAGGCCAGAGUGAGGAGGGUCCAGGGUAGGUACAGGGUAGGCAGCUUAGAUUUGGUUGAUCUGGAGGUCGAUUCUCCGGCUGGCGGAUCUGACACUGUCGAAACGAGAUGCGAGCGGUGUAGGGUAGGCUAGUUUCGUCCUCGCCAGGUUGCGAUUUGGACGAGAUGUGUGGUUUAGGGUAGGCUCUAGGGUAAGUAGAACUCGAGUUUCGUCGCCGACAGUUUUCUGUGGGUGUAUGGUAGGUACAGGGUAGGCAAAUCUCUCUCCGGCCAGUACUUGUCUGGUGGUCGUGAGUCGAUUUUUUUGUUUUGCCAUACUAUUGAAUUUUGCGGAAAUUCAAAAGUGGCUCGGGAGUCCCGCCUGGCGUGCGUCCGACUCGAACAUCG
rnacentral:rRNA from 1 species